CGAGGAACCAUAUCACACAAUUGGUGAAGGAGACUUCAUCCAAACUCAGUCAAGCCAGUGAGGUCGAUCACCAACAUAAUAAUCAAAUUACUAUGUACUAAGUGAGGAACAGAUUGUUGAGUUUGAAGAAGUUUUUUGUCUUUUUGACAAGGAUGGAGAUGGUGUUUAUGUGUUGAGACGAACUUCAAAGAAACUUUUGUGGCAAUAGUUUGCAAUAGUUGGUUGUGAUGCCAUACAUCUUCAUAUAGUUAGGCUCUUGAGAUAGAUGGAAACAAAUGGAAGGUCAUGGCACACAUUUUGGGCUCGGCAAUAGGCUUUCAAAUCUAGUGCAAAUAACAAAGCAUCAAAAUAUCUUUAGAUUUCGUUGUUCACUUUUAAAGUGAAACAUGGAAUUUUUUUCAAAUUUUAGCUAAACCUUUUAGCUAGAAGUUUAUUAUGAUGAUUUUGAUUCUCUAAACUUUACUUUUUGAAAGAUGGUUCACUUAAGUGAAAUAUGUAU